CUUUGCCCCACCACCCUCUCACUUAUAACCCAAAACACACACACACGCACACACACACACACACACACACACACACACACCCUUUCCCUCUUGCCCUACUUGCAUCCACCAUCACCUACAAUCUGGUAUCCACCCACAUUCACGUGUACAACCUGCCCUCAGUACUCAUUCUUCUUAUACUUCUGCAUUCCCACACUGAGCCUUACCCUCACACGCCCAUACCAACCUUUAUCUAUAGUCCCACACACAUGCACGCACACAGAGACACCUCUGCCCUACCCACCCUCACCUACCCCCUUCUACAAUCCUGCAUAUACAUGCACACCUUCACCCAUACAUACCCACCCUCGCCUACAAACCUAUAUCCACGCAUAUUCAUACCUGACCACAACUACCUAACCAGCGGUUUGAUGCCACACUUUAGAAAGGUUCAUACACCCUACUUUUAAAAACCAUCAUGAUUUAGGCUGGAAUUAGUAAACUGCUAUUUGAUUUUACAGAUAAAGUUUCAAAAGGUUAAAUAAUUGAACAAGGUCACACUGCUAGCAGUUUCUAAGAGUCCUAAAAAGAACACAGGUGUCUGAAGCUCUGUCCAAUGUUCUGUCAUUCACAUCACAGCUGUCUACAUACGUCUCUUUGAAACAACCUGAACUCUUCUCUCAAUAUAAAAUUGAGGUGAAAUACCAAAUUAAGGCACAUGGGUCCGUUAUUGCCAAAGUGAUGGAUUUCCUGACAACCAUUCCACCCAGAAGAUUUUUUUUCCCAGAACUAAUAAUCCCAUCCCCGUUGCUGGUGAUUAACUUAAUAACGAGCAUGACAAUCAACAAACAGAUUGAAAAGGCAACCUACUCAGAAUGGGAGAAAAUAUGAAACCAUAUACCAGAGAUGAAAGUAAUAUCCAGAAUAUAUAAAGAAUUCCUACAACUUGAUAACAAAAACACCCCAAUCUAAAAAUGGACACAGAAUUUAAAUAGACAUUUCUCCAAUGAAGAUGGCCACCACACAUGUGAAAAGAUGCUCAACAUCACUAAUCAUCAAGGGAAAUGCAAAUCAAAACCACAAUAGCACAAUGAGAUAUCAUUUCAGACCCCGUAUGAUGUUAGGAUGGCUACUUUCAAAAAAACAGAAAAUAAGUGUUGGUAAGGAAACACCUGCACACUGUUGAUGGGAUUAUAAAAUGGGCAGCCACUAUGGAAAAUAGUAUGGAGGUUCCUAAAAAAACUGCAAUUAGAAUUCCCAUAUGAUCCAGUCAUCUCCUACUGCAUAUAUAUCCAAAAGAAUUGAAAGCAGGAUCUUGAAAAGAUAUCUGCUCUCCUAUGUUCAUGCAGCAUUAUUCACAACAGCCAAGAUGUAGAGGUGAUUCAAAUGUCCAUCAGUGAAUGAAUAGAUAAAGAAAUGUGGUAUAUACAUACAAUGGAAUCUUAGCCUAAAAAAGAAAGAAUUCCUGUCAUAUGCUACAGCAUGGAUGAACCUUGAGGACCUUAUGGUAAGUGAAAUGAGCCAAUCAGAAAAAGAUGGGUGCUAGAUGAUCCUACUUAUGUGAGGUAUCUGAAGUAAUAAAACUCAUGGAAAUGAAAGUAGAAUAAUGGUUACCAGGGGCUGGGGGAGGGGAAAACACCAUGUUGUUCAAUGGGUAUAGAGUUUCAGUCAUGCGUGCGGAAAACGUUCUAGAGAUCCGUUGUACAACAAUGUGCAUAUCACAACAUUACUGAACUGUACACUAAAAAAUGUUAAGAGGGCCAGGCACAGUGGCUCACCCCUGUAAUCCAGCACUUUGGGGGGCCAAGGUGGGAGGAUCGCUUGAGCCCAGGAGUUGGAGACCAACCUGGGCAACACAGCAAGACUUCAUUUUUACUAAAAAUAAAUAAAUAUAUAAAUAAAAAAUAGCCAGGCAUGGUGGCAAACGCCUGUAGUCCCAGCUACUUGAGAGGCUGAGUUGGGAGGAUCCCUUGAGCCCAGUAGUUCCAGGUUACUGUAAGCUAUGAUCUCGCCACUGCGCUUCAGCCUGGGCAGCAGAGCAAGACUGUCUCAGAAAAAAAAAUUGUUAAGAAGAUAAAGUUAUGUUAUGUGUUUUUACCACAUUAAAUAACAAUAACAAAAAAGAAUGAGCAUCUGGCCUAAUUCUGACGAGUAAAAUUGGAAGGGAAGUCAGUUGGGGGCUAGGAAAUCUUUGCUUGCUCAUAAGAAAGUGAUUUUAGAAAUGAUUGCCUGGAACCGUUACAUGUAUUUUCUUACCAGUCCGAGGAUGAACACACAAGAGAUUCACAGGAACAAACCAGACCACUGACUUGCUGCACUGAAGUUGCAAUACUUCUGAGACGUAGAUCUCCUUAUUAAUCUAGCUCAGUGUUUUGUUACCUGCAGCACAGAAACACUUUCCCUGAAAAACAGAUACAACUUUUAAAGCAUAAUUUUUAUUCUUUAGGUAUUCUGGUAAGUGAUCUAAACUAUAUGUCUAUUUAAAAAAUAAACCUACAUUAGACCUAGGAUUAAUUUAUGAAUUGGGAUUACUUAUUUUAAAAAUAUAGGGAGAACAUUUAAAGUCAGGUUUAUUGAGGUAUAAUUUAUAUUCAGCAAUCCUCCUUUAAAUAUACAGUUUGAUUUUGGCAAAUGCAUAUUUCUUUAUGGAUUAGUCUUUAUGCUUAUUUACCAAGUAAAUAAUUAUGAAGAAACUAUCAUAACUGCAGUUUUAAUUUAAGGAAAGUUCUCUCCAAAUGGGGUAAACUCUUUUAAAAUAGGUGGCACCAGUUUAAUUUCUAAAGGAGCUGUGAAGACAUCUGUAGACAUAGAGAUAAGAGUUCUAUUUAGAUCAGUAUUUUUUUUUUUAGAGACGGAGUCUCGCUCUGUUGCCCAGGCUGGAGUGCAGUGGUACGAACUUGGCUCAUUGCUACCUCCACCUCCCGGGUUCAAGCGAUGCUCCUGCCUCAGCCUCCAGAGUUGCUGGGAUUACAGGCACCAGCCACCAUGCCUGGGUAAUUUUUGUAUUUUUAGUAGAGACAGGGUUUCACCAUGUUGGGCAGGCUGGUCUUGAACUCCUAAGGCUGGUCUUGAACUCCUAACCUCAAGUGAUCCACCCACCUCGGCCUCCCAAAGUGCUGGGAUUACAGGUGUGAGCCACCGUGCACAGCCUAGAUCAGUAUCUUGAGUGCCAGAAAGUGCUCUGUCCACAACCAUAUUUUUUUGUUUAUCAUUUUUAUUUGCAAUAACCCAGAACUGUCCUGGUUUUUGUGCUGAAAGUCUCCAGUCCCAGGAAACUCUGCAGUCCUGGGCAAACCAGGAUGGUUGGUCACCCUAGCAACAUUUCUCAACCUAGGAACUAUUGACAUUCUUUGUUGUGGGGACUGUUAUGUGCAUUGUAGGAAGAUUGCAUCAUUUGUGACCUCUACCCACUAGGUGGGUCCACUCCCAGUUGUCACUAUCAAAAGUGUCUCCAGAUAGUGUCAAAUGUCCCUGGGGGGGCAAAAUCACUCAAGGGGGCAAAAUCACCAAAAUCAGGCAUCUGCCCUAGAGGUAAGUGCCCUCACAACUCACACAUUUGAAAUUCAUAAUCUUAUUUUCUGUUGCUGUUGUAAAGCAAAAGCAAGUUGAUUCUCCUGUUUUUAUAGCAGAGGACUUAAAAUGCUGAGGAAUUGCUUCCAGACUGUCCCUUUUUGGAGAUCCCCCUUCUUCACCCCUCACCCCUGCCCCUUUUUCUUAACAUUGCAAAUGACCUGACCGAUGAUUCUAGGUGCAUCUUUCUUGUAGGUUCUGGGAAGCCGUCCUUGUGACCUGUGUCCAGUCUAACUCUCUAGACUUGAAAUUCUUUUUCUGUUUGCUACUUCCAAUUCUCCCAUACAUAUAUAGCCAUAUCAUACGAUGAUAUUCUUAAGACACAUUUAUAGGAUUGAAUGUGCAUGUGUUUUAAUGGGAUGGUAUUUUGUGCACUUUUCUGUUUUUGCCUUUCUCAGCCAACAAUACUACCUGGAAAUAUCUUCAACAAAAUAAUACAGCUAUAAUUUGUUCUUGUUAAUAACGGUGUAAUAUUGCCUGUUAUAUAUAGUGAAUAUACUGUAUUUUAUAUGCCAUUUCCCUAUUAUCUUUCUUUGCCUCAACAUGCUCUAUUGGAAUAAACAUCUCUGCACA
rnacentral:lncRNA from 1 species